UACGGGGGGGGCAAGCGUUGUUCGGAAUUACUGGGCGUAAAGGGCCAGUAGGCGGCCAACUAAGUCCGACGUGAAAUCCCAAGGCUUAACCUUGGAACUGCGUCGGAUACUGGAUGGCUUGAAUUCGGGAGAGGGAUGCAGAAUUCCAGGUGUAGCGGUGAAAUGCGUAGAUAUCAGGAGGAACACCGGUGGCGAAGGCGGAUCUCUGGGCCUUACCUGACGCUCAGGUGCGAAAGCUAGGGGAGCGAACAGG
rnacentral:rRNA from 1 species